GUGUCAGCAGCCGCGGUAAAACGUAGGACGCAAGCGUUAUCCGGAGUUACUGGGCGUAAAGGGCGGGCAGGCGGCUUCUCAAGUCUGAUGUGAAAGCGCCCAGCUAAACUGGGCGAGGCCAUUGGAAACUGGGGAGCUGGAGGGCAGCAGAGGCAGGUGGAAUUCCGGGUGGAGUGGUGAAAUGCGUAGAGAUCCGGAGGAACCCCAGAGGCGAAGGCGGCCUGCUGGGCUGCACCUGACGCUGAACCGCGAAAGCCAGGGGAGCGAACGGGAUUAGAAACCCGGGUAGUCC
rnacentral:rRNA from 1 species